UGGACAAAAAAAGGCAGAGUACCAGUCAGUGGUUAAAGACACACAAAAUGUGGACAUCAAAACAAAUGGCUACAUUUGCUCGUGAGGAAGAUGAUAACGAAGAGGAUGAGACUCCUUCAAACCAUAAGAUAGUGGAUGAUUCACACUCAACUGCAAAGCAAUGAAAGAACACAUCUGUCACUAAAUUGAACCCAGUCACCUUGGAUUAUGCCCAAAAGUGUGAGAAUUACAAGAAACUCACCAGAACUGUGAUGGACUCCAUUUCCACCUUAGAAAAAAUGACAACAUGCUCCGUCACAGGGAAAAAAGGGACCACUGGUGAACAAAGACAGAGUCCUGACAGAGAAAGUGAAGCUAGUAAUAGGGAGCCUGCUGGAAGAGAAUCUGAGGACUGAUGCACAUAUAACAAUGGACAUGCAUAAAGACACAUCUCUAACAAUGGACAUGCAUGAAGACACAUCUCUCUCUCUCUCUCUCUCUCUCUCUCUCUCUCUCUCUCUCUCUCUCUCACAUACACACAC